AGACAGGUGAAUGAAGCCAUUGAAGCCAGACAAAAAAUUGACAGGAUGUAUGCAGCCUUCACUGGACAACCUCUUGAGACAGUGCAGCAGUUCACUGAAAGAGAUCGUUUCUUAUCCGCUUCUGAGGCGCUUGAGUUUGGGCUGAUCGAUGGUCUACUGGAAACAGAAUACUGAAACAUCAUACAAGACAAUGCACAUUAGACGGUUCAUUGCAUGUUCAAAGCGUCCCAGUUUCAUUUGAAUAUGAACAGUUGUAACUGACUUUGUGCAUAAACCAGUUUGGUUUUCUUGGUUUUAGUGUCUACUAAACAGACUAAAACCAAUCUGUCCCAUUUUUCUAUUUGCGCUAAACCAAUAUGAAAACUUGUGUUCUAUUUACGUUAGGUUCAGCUUGUUACU